rnacentral:rRNA from 1 species
UGAUGAUUAUUGGAGGUAGAGCACUGUUUGGACGAGGGGCCCCUCUCGGGUUACCGAAUUCAGACAAACUCCGAAUGCCAAUUAAUUUAACUUGGGAGUCAGAACAUGGGUGAUAAGGUCCGUGUUCGAAAGGGAAACAGCCCAGACCACCAGCUAAGGUCCCAAAAUAUAUGUUAAGUGGAAAAGGAUGUGGCGUUGCCCAGACAACUAGGAUGUUGGCUUAGAAGCAGCCAUCAUUUAAAGAGUGCGUAAUAGCUCACUAGUCGAGUGACACUGCGCCGAAAAUGUACCGGGGCUAAACAUAUUACCGAAGCUGUGGAUUGUCCUUUGGACAAUGGUAGGAGAGCGUUCUAAGGGCGUUGAAGCAUGAUCGUAAGGACAUGUGGAGCGCUUAGAAGUGAGAAUGCCGGUGUGAGUAGCGAAAGACGGGUGAGAAUCCCGUCCACCGAUUGACUAAGGUUUCCAGAGGAAGGCUCGUCCGCUCUGGGUUAGUCGGGUCCU